GCCUUCGUGGUGUAAUGGUUAGCACACCGAGCCGGUAUUUCGAGAGGUCAGUGGUUCGAUUCCCGGCGAAUGCG
rnacentral:tRNA from 1 species